GCUUGCAGCGCCGUCUGGAACAAGUUAGCUCAUUAGCCCAUAGCCCAGCUGCUCCCUGAAAACCAAGGUGGGUCCAAAUCUGUAGCUGGUUUAGGAACCUGACACUCACUCACUCACUCACAUCCCUCAAAAGUCAGCUAGCAACUGAAAUAGCCAAGGGAGGAGCUCUGCGCCCAGCUGCCAACAGCUUUUCUGAGUGUUUUCCAGAAAGGAGAGGGUUGGAGAAAGAGAGGGGAGAGGAGGGAGAGCUGGGCACGGCCUGCCUGGGGGCCUUGCCAGCUCCCCAACCCACACAGACACAAUCCAGAGGGUGAGUUUGGUCCCGAAGCAAAAAAAAAAAAAAAGCCUCUCACUAAGCUCCUCGUCUGAUGUCAGCUUCCUUGGAGGAGGGGAGGAAAAAGGGAAUUGGAAUCCAGCGAGUGAAAUUAACAGGAGCUUCAGGCUUUUGCAAUUCUGGAUUCUGGUUCCCCUAUUUCUGCUCCUGGCUGUUGUUUCCAUGGAAACUGGCACCAGACCUGGGAAAAUAAGGGUUAGGGUUUUUCAAAGGGAGGCUCUCUUCCAGCUCCCUCUCCCCCUUAAUUUCUGGCGUUCCGGCCCCCUGUUCCACUGAGAAAAGCAAAGUGAGGAAACAGCAAGCGAGAUUCGCUCCCUGGAAGAUUGCAGCUGCCUGCUGAGAUGGGGACCGCUUACGCACAAAACGUUCCUUCCAGGUCGGAGACACUUCCAUUUUCAAAAGUGCAAAGAAGAUUACAUGGAGGGCACCAUGACCUCUUCUUCUGCCAGGGCAUUAAACAUCCAGUCCAAAGAUCGCUGAAUUUCCACUCAUCUAAAGAGAUGAAUUAGACAGAUGCUUAGAUCUUUCUCUGAAAAUUAAGAGACCUGAAAGUGCUUAACUUUGGUGGGACUGUGCCCCAAGAACUGUGUCAUUAUGACAAUAAAUCUAGCCGUUAUAAUCAUUGCCUGCAAUAGUCAGAAAAAUGCCUACGAACCAAUGUAGUUCAGCAAAGAAGACGACUGAGAAACUUAGGUCAAAUCUGCAUACCAGACACAGAUUCACGUUACAGACAUCGGAUUUCCAGCUCUCCUGUGGUUGAUACUCGACUGAGAAGAGCAGUGAGACUGCAUGCAUAUUCACUAUUCACUUAACCUUAAAAAGUUGAUUUGUACAACCUAAAUGGAUUAUUAUAUUUCACAUUCUGCACGGGAGUCAGCUUCCGUCCACACAAAUGUGAUAUGUCUAUUACAACCUCUCUCUCCCUGCCACAAACACAUUUCUACACCAAAGGCCAAUGUGGACAGAGAAAUAUUAGGGCUAGGGUAGGAAUUACACAGUCAUCCAAGUGUUUGAAUUGCAACUUUGAGCAUUAUUCACCAUACAACAACAUCUAUAUUAAGGAGUUGGCUGACAACUGUCAGGCAUCAGGGUCUUAGGGUGCAUCUACACCAGUGUUUCUCAACCUUCCUACUGCCAUGACCCCUUAAUACUGUCCCUCAUGUUGUGGUGACCCCCAACCAUGAAAUUAUUUUCGUUGCUACUUCAUAACUGUAAUUUUGCUACUGUUAU